AUGACUCUAACUUUGGAUGACGGGAAGCAGAUUGAAAUUCUUGGCACAUAUCUGAAACAUUUGUGUGAUGCAGCUUACCUUUUAACUACCCGACCAUAUCCAACUUCAAACUUAUUUCUCGCAGAAGUGUCAAAGCAUCAUAUGAAGUUGGCUAUUGCUGCCUUCAGUCAGGAUCUUUUUCUUAGUAGCUUGAUUCUGCCUUUGCUCGAGAACUUUGAUCAUUUGGAGAGAAUGUUGAGCCGUGGGUAA